CAGCACCUCAAGUGGUCAGGAUGAUUAUUGGGCCUAAAGCAUCCGUAGCCGGCUUUGUAAGUUUUCGGUUAAAUCCAUGUGCUCAACGCAUGGGCUGCCGAAAAUACUGUAUAGCUAGGGAGUGGGAGAGGUAGACGGUACUCAGUAGGUAGGGGUAAAAUCCUUUGAUCUAUUGAUGACCACCUGUGGCGAAGGCGGUCUACCAGAACACGUUCGACGGUGAGGGAUGAAAGCUGGGGGAGCAAACCGGAUUAGAUACCCGGGUAGUCCCAGCUGUAAACGAUGCAGACUAGAUGAUGCAUUGGCAUAAUAGCCAUUGCAGUGUCUCAGGGAAGCCGUUAAGUCUGCCGCCUGGGAAGUACGUACGCAAGUAUGAAACUUAAAGGAAUUGGCGGGGGAGCACCACAAGGGGUGAAGCCUGCGGUUCAAUUGGAGUCAACGCCAGAAAUCUUACCCGGAGAGACAGCAGAAUGAAGGUCAAGCUGAAGACUUUACCAGACAAGCUGAGAGGUGGUGCAUGGCCGUCGCCAGCUCGUGCCGUGAGAUGUCCUGUUAAGUCAGGUAACGAGCGAGAUCCCUGCCGCUAGUUGCUAUCAUUAUUCUCAGGAAUAGUGGAGCGAAUUAGCGGGACUGCCGUUGUUAAAACGGAGGAAGGAAGGGGCUACGGCAGGUCAGUAUGCCCCGAAACUCUGGGGCCACACGCGGGCUGCAAUGGUAGUGACAAUGAGUUCCAAACUCGAAAGAGAGUGGCAAUCUCUAAACGCUACCACAGUUAUGACUGAGGGCUGUAACUCGCCCUCACGAAUAUGGAAUCCCUAGUAACCGCGUGUCAUUACCGCGCGGUGAAUACGUCCCUGCUCCUU
rnacentral:rRNA from 1 species